rnacentral:lncRNA from 1 species
CUGAUUUACAGGACCUGAGCCUUGAGCUGCAAGUACUCAGAGCCCAGGGCCUCACUGUGAAUCAGUGACACCUGUCACUCUUUCUGCCACUCCUUUUGACUUCCUCCAAAGCACUAGAAACUUUUGGAAAGAGCAUCAGUCUUGUGUAUCCUUCAUCUCCACGGAAUCUUCCCUAGCAGCUGUGAAGAAGGUUGAGAUAAGACAGGUCUACCAAGAUACAGCAGUCUUACACGUCCUGUCAUACACGCUGUCUGAUAUCAGCAUUCAGAAAUCAAACUAAAUCCUCUGUCAGCUUGCAGCAGUGGAACCCUGAAGACCCUCUACUUCCAUGGAAAGAAAACACAUGAAAUUAAUAAAUAUGACACAUUUAAGAACA